rnacentral:misc_RNA from 1 species
GAUGAAGAACGUAGCGAAAUGCGAUAAGUAGUGUGAAUUGCAGAAUUCCGUGAAUCAUCGAAUCUUUGAACGCACAUUGCGCCUUCUGGUAUUCCGGAAGGCAUGCCUGUUCGAGAGUCAUUAACAACCGUUUCGAUCCCUUUCUUUCAGAAAUUACAAAGAGGAAAAGGGUUUGGUUAUGGUGGGGGAGGGAAAGGGAGCGUUUAGCCUGUAAAAAAAGAGGCUGUGUUCCGCCUCCCCCCCAAAAUUGUACAGGCGGUCGUGUGCGCCCACGCAUCGAGGUGUUGUAAAAGCUGCCACGGCACUUUUCACCUGUGCAGUGCGAGAUUGGCCAGCCGGUUUAAAAACCCCUCCAAACAAUCAAAGGUUGACCUCGGAUCAGGUAGGGAUACCCGCUGAACUUAAGCAUAUCAAUAAGCGGAGGA